AACUGUGUUUGUAUCAGUUUGUGGUCUGGGCCCAGUGGGCCGUUGCGAGCAGGGCUGCAGGGAGUUAUUAUGGCAGGAAGAAGACAAAUUUGAAGAAACAGACGAGGAAACAGAAGUCUAGUGUUGUGCAAUAUAAUGGAAAAACCCUAGGGAGCCACCUUAAGCUCACUAAUAGGAAAACUCUACGAAAAUGAUUUGUGUGGACGAAGCCUGGAAUCAUAACAUGCAGCUGAGACUAACUGAAAAAGUUCUCAUUUCAUUUCCUCAUUUGUAGCUAAAAAUGAAACACAAAUAUAGGAUGAUUGAACAGUUUUUUUCCAAUCUCAGCUACACGUUAUGAUAAUAUGAUUUAACUCAGUUCAAUUCAGACACGACCAGUAUCAUUGGAUGCGCAGUCGAUACAGCCGAAUGAAAGAGGCCUUAGUACAAGCAAAUUACAGCAGUUUCACAAGAUUCGCGACCCCCAACACAAACGUUCGCUGAACUGUAAUGUUUGUUUUUGACAUAAGGGCGUGGCUACCAACUAAUAUUUUAUAUUUAAUAUAAAAUACCAGUUGGUAGCCACGCCCUUAUGUCAAAAACAAACAUUACCGUUCAGCGAACGUUUGUGUUGGGGGGUCGCGAAUCUCGUGAAACUGCUGUAAACAACAUACGUUGAGAG